rnacentral:tRNA from 1 species
GGUCUUAUAGUUUACUUAAAAUAUUAAAUUGCAAAUUUAAAGAAGAUUAACAUCUAAGACUU